rnacentral:rRNA from 1 species
CCAAUAGCGUAUAUUAAAGUUGUUGCAGUUAAAAAGCUCGUAGUUGAAUUUCGGGAUCAAUAUUUCGGUCAUGCCGUUGGUAUGCACUGUUAUUAUUGAUUUCUCACCUUCUAAAGAACCGUAAUGCCAUUAAUUUGGUGUUACGGGGAAUUAGGACUGUUACCUUGAAAAAAUUAGAGUGUUUAAAGCAGGCUCACGCUUGAAUACAUUAGCAUGGAAUAAUGAAAUAGGACAUCCGAUUCUAUUUUGUUGGUUUCUAGGAUCGAUGUAAUGAUUAAUAGGGAUAGUUGGGGGCAUUAGUAUUCAAUUGUCAGAGGUGAAAUUCUUGGAUUUAUUGAAGACUAACUACUGCGAAAGCAUUUGCCAAGGAUGUUUUCAUUAAUCAAGAACGAAAGUUAGGGGAUCGAAGACGAUCAGAUACCGUCGUAGUCUUAACCAUAAACUAUGCCGACUAGGGAUCGGAUGAUGUUAAUUUUUUAAUGACUCAUUCGGCGCCUUACG